AUCAGCAGAGCAAUGGUGGACAGGCGCAGGCUGGGGCUACCGCUUCUGGCACUGCUCCUACACACAUAGAUUCAUUCAAAUCAUACAAUUUUUCAAAUCAUAACAUUUUUCAGAUAACUCCUCCCGGAAUACUUCAGCAGCCACAAAUCCAGCUAAUGCCACUACCAAGGUGGUUGGCAGUGCCUUGGAGUCAACAGCCAGUCUCCUCCUAGUCUUGCUUUCUCUCGCCCACCUC
rnacentral:lncRNA from 1 species